rnacentral:antisense_RNA from 1 species
CUUGACCGACCCCAGCAACAACGGCUCAUCCCGGUCCUGGCCGUAGGUCGCCAGCAGCGCCUGGGCCUC